GACAGAGGGGCAAGCGUUGCUCGGAAUUACUGGGCGUAAAGGGCGCGUAGGCGGCACGGUAAGUCGGGAGUGAAAGCCCGGGGCUCAACCCCGGAACGUCUUUCGAAACUGCCGAGCUAGAGUGCGGAAGAGGCAACUGGAAUUCCCAGUGUAGCGGUGAAAUGCGUAGAUAUUGGGAAGAACACCUGAGGCGAAGGCGGGUUGCUGGGCCGACACUGACGCUGAUGCGCGAAAGCCAGGGAGCGGAACGGG
rnacentral:rRNA from 1 species